rnacentral:lncRNA from 1 species
CCACGACGUAUUAGGGUUUCACCAUAUUCUCUCUCGCUUUCUUCUCCGCCGAUCCUCAAGAUCUUCAAAUUAAUCUUCAAAUCACGGGUUUUGCAUCUUGGAUCGAUUUUCUUUUCUGAUUCUGAUAAUCAAAUAUCGUCAUCACAAAGCUAUUUGGAUUCUAAAAUACGCAGAGCCUUUUGGUCCGAUGCAAUGAUUGAAAUCCUUCCGGGUGCGAUUAGGAUUUCUCAAUAUACAACCAUCCAUCCUUGAUAUUUUAUUCAGUUCUUCUUCUUCUGGUUUCUAGCUGUCGAGUUUGUGGCGAUACAUAAUAGAUUGUCAGGCUUUAACUUUAUAAUUCUGCAACAGCAGCUCUUAAUCUGUGUGGCAUAAUGUUGGGUUCUUUCAAGUGAGGGUUUUGUCUUUAGAAAUUGCAAAUCUUCAUGCUUUGACAUGCGCAUAUGGUUCAGGUUGUAAGUUUCUGCUAGGCCGUUAAAAACAAUUGUAGUGUUGUAUUCUACGCUACAACAGAUUAGUCUCAUUAAUUAUAGAUGCCAAUGUUCAACUGUUUGCUUAUGAUUUAUGAGUGUAUCAAUUGGGUUUUGUCUGAUCUAAGACGAGACAAAUUAUUUUUUAGCUAAAAGGGGUAAAAUCGGUCGAACGAGUCAAACAAGUUGUUGGUGUUGAAAAGCACGUGGAAACUUCUUUUCUUGGUUAGAUUAUAUAUUUGUUAUAACCCGAAGAACAUACAGCCUUCAUUCGCAUCUAGGGUUUCUGUUUCUUCCAUCAUAUAUCUCCCUCUCAUCAUCCCUAAAUCUCAUUCCUGAAUGAUCAUCAAUACCAAGUUACGAUUCAGUUUUCUAUCUAUUAUUCAUCUUUAUUCUUGAUCAGAUCUCAUUUUUUCUUGCACUCCUUCGAUCUUAUCAUAUCGUAUCGACACAAUAGAUAUCUAUUGGGGCUGAAUUGAGGUGUAUAAACCGUCGGUCCAUAAGUGAAGGUUGGUGUUCUAUUAAGGAUUGCAAGAUGAUAUAUAAUGGUGGCUAGAGGUGGCUGGUGAAAGCGGUUCGUGACGUUCAAGCUAAAACGAACCGGAGAAGCGAUGACCAGCAAAAGAAUCUGGUAUACAAUUGUACCAAUGGUAAGUCGAGCUGAGAGAGUGGUAAACAUAAAACACCCAUAAUACUCGGAGUUAAUACAAAGAUGAAAAACGUAGAGUUAGUAUUUGGACACAUAUAUGUGGUGGUCAUCUCUCCAACAAAGGAACCGAAUGACUUUUUUUUUUUUUGUAGGAGAUAGGAUGUUGUAUCCAAGUUGAAAGCUAAGGUGUAUACACUCAACCUAAAUCUAAAGAAGUCAAGUCACACUACCAGCUCUAAUAGUUGUUUCUAUUAUCUUAAAGAUGUCUUCAAUCGAUUCUCUUUUCUGAUUCUGAUAGGCAAAUGGUGACAUCACCAAGGUACGAUUUGAUUGAUGGCAUGAUAUAAUUGAAGCCGAACAUAUUUCGUUAGGUGAUGAUUGUUUUUUCAAUUGGUUAAAGACGAAUUCGAGGUUAUUGGUUACGAAGCUCCAACAAGUAGAAGUACUAGAGUAAUAGGCUUUCAAUUUAUAUUUCAAACCAGAAAAACGUAUUUCUUUCAUUUAUUUAUCUUUUCGGUUUUGUUACAUCUAUAGUACGAUGCUUUGUUGUAUUUUAAU